GAUGAAGAACGCAGUGAAAUGCGAUAAGUAAUGUGAAUUGCAGAAUUCAGUGAAUCAUCGAAUCUUUGAACGCACAUUGCGCCCCCUGGUAUUCCGGGGGGCAUGCCUGUCCGAGCGUCAUUACAACCCUCAAGCUCAGCUUGGUGUUGAGCCCCGCCGCCCCGGCGGGCCCUAAAGUCAGUGGCGGUGCCGUCCGGCUCCGAGCGUAGUAAUUCUUCUCGCUCUGGAGGUCCGGUCGUGUGCUCGCCAGCAACCCCCAAUUUUUUUCAGGUUGACCUCGGAUCAGGUAGGGAUACCCGCUGAACUUAAGCAUAUCAAUAAGCGGAGGA
rnacentral:misc_RNA from 1 species